ACCAUUUACUGCCUCUUAUGACUUAUCUUCUUCUUCUCUCUACACAAUUUUUUUUCUUCUCUCUUUUUCUUCCAAACCACCAAUCUGUACUGUGAUUUCAACUCCUUCACAACCCAGCCUCAGCACCGAUCUCUCUCUACUAAUCCAGAUCAACAAAAAAUUUGGAACCCAAGAACAUUUGGGAAGAGCCAGAAAAAAAAAUGGAGCUCAAAGCCUCAAACGCUGUUUGUGAUCUCUGUUGGUUGGUGGAUGUGCAAGAGAAGAGAUAGACGGUUGCAGGUUUGAAACUCUGUUUUGUUUACUUAUUUUUGGUUUCUGGUACUACGAAAUCAUGGUUGCUGUGAAAAUUAGGGACAAAUGGAAGGAAAUUGAGGAUUUUUGGUGUUCCCUUUCAGAAUCGAAAAUUCGGAGCUCAAUUCUCCCAAAAUACUGAGAUUUGAAUUUUUGUACGCAUGUUUGUGUGAAAGUUUGGUUUUUUACUCGGAUGGGUCAGAAUAUUUAGUGUUAUAUUUAGAUUAUAUGAAUGAAAGUUUGGAUAUUUACUUAGGUUGAAUUUGUGUUGUGCUUGCUAUUUGUAGUUGUCCUUAUUUGCUGUCGUUCUUUCUACGGAGUAGGAUUGGUUUUUCAUGGAUGAAUCAUUGUAAUCUGUAAUCUUCAGUAGAAUGCCUUUUUGGUUGUUGGAGGUAAAGAGAUUAGAGGCUCUAUCUCUAAUCUGAAGGGGCCCUGUGGUUUACCCCAAGCCUCGGUGAGUUGUGGUUUUGGCUAACAGUCCAUUGAGGUCCUUGAGAUGGCACAAGUCAUCAAGCAGAGGUUUGUGAUUCCAAGGCUGCAGCAGAGCAAGGGCUGUUGCUUUGGUUAAACCAAUCUAGGAGCUGGAACAGGUAGCAAAUAGGUUGAUGUAAGAAGCAUAUCAAAGAGUUUGUGCAGGAUCAAGGAGAUUCCUCUCACAGUAGAUGUGGAAGCACCCUUCCUUGGCUUGAUACUAAGGUUUGGUUUUCUACAAGAGUGGAAGAUGAAGUGCAAUAAAAUCAAGUGGUUCACAAUGAUAGAAUAUCUUAGUGUUGUGCUAGAUGUAAACAAACUCAUUAGAAUUUGAAUGUGUAUUACAUACUAUCACCUUGUAGCGUAGAGCUAUAUCUGAAAGCUUAGUUUCUAUAUUGAUUGAAUUUAGCUAGAAAACAUGCUUUGUUUGAUUUUGUAAAGAACCAUCGGCUAUGAUUACAAGGUAGACAUAGUGCUUGAUACUUUGGUAGUGGAUGUGUCUAACUAUAUUUGGUAGU